AAACGUAGGAGGCGAGCGUUAUCCGGAUUUACUGGGUGUAAAGCGCGUGCAGGCGGUCGUGUAAGUGGUGCGUGAAAGCUCCCGGCUCAACCGGGAGAGGACGUGCCAAACUGCAGGGCUAGAGGCAGGUAGAGGCGUGUGGAAUUCCGGGUGUAGUGGUGAAAUGCGUAGAGAUCCGGAGGAACACCAGUGGCGAAGGCGACACGCUGGGCCUGGCCUGACGCUCAGACGCGAAAGCAUGGGGAGCGAACGGGAUUAGAAACCCCGGUAGUCCAUGCUGUAAACGAUGCUGACUAGGUGUUGCGGGUGAGAUACUCCGGCAGUGCCGAAGCUAACGUGGUAAGUCAGCCACCUGGGGACUACGGCCGCAAGGUUAAA
rnacentral:rRNA from 1 species